rfam:Ictidomys tridecemlineatus contig014839, whole genome shotgun sequence.
GGGGUUGUGGCUCAGUGGUAGAGCUCACAACUUGCACGUGUGAGGCCCUGGGUUCGAUUCUCAGCACCA